UUUUAAGAAAAACUGAUAGCUGCUUUCUAACAUAAAAUGCAGUCGUUUGGCCAUUUAACAGACAUUUAUGGCAUAUUUGUUAUGCGCAAAAAGUACAAACAUGACCAAAUGUUGGACUUUGCCCUUCCAAUGUAGAUUCAUAGUUUGAAGGACAGAAUGAAAUAUAAAUUGAUAAAUGUAAACCAGUUGAAAAACUGCCUCAGUAAAGGUGUGUAUGGGGUACAAUAGGAGCAGAGACUUCUGAUUUGCCAUCUAAAGGGUGAACUAGAGUCCUUGACGCACACAACAGGGAAGAGACAUGCCUGGUGGAACCCAAGGUAUGUGCAAAGCUGGAAGAGAAGGAAACAAAUAGGAAGGGAUUGCUUUUCGACAAGAAACCAGAGCAGAUCUUUGAAUAGCAGAAUUUCUAGCAUAGUCAGCAAAAGAAAUAAACAUUACCUUUUUCACUAUGAGGAUUUAAAGAUGAGUGAACAUGACAGGAAACUUCAAUCUAAAACAAUCUGUAGCCUAAGAGAAACUUUGUAUCACCAAUCCAGAAUCAACUUGUGGUACUUUGAAGAGUGUUUUUUUUGUUUGUUUGUUGAUUUGUUUUGUUCCCCCCCCCACCCCGCAAAGGGAGCGGAUCACAAAAGAAUUGAAAAACACAG
rnacentral:lncRNA from 1 species